rnacentral:lncRNA from 1 species
CUUCAAGGCACGUGAUGGUUAAUACUGAGUGUCAAUUGACUGGAUUGAAGAAUGCAAAGUAUUGAUCAUGAGUGUGUCUGUAAGGGUGCUGACAAAGGAGAUUAACAUUUGAGUCAGUGGGCUGGGAAAGGCACUUAAUCUGGGUGGACACCAUCCAAUCAGCUGCCAGCACAGCCAAAAUACAAAGCAGGCAGAAAAAAAACGUGAAAAGGCUAGACUGGCUUAGCCUUCCAGCUUACAUCUUUCUCCUGUGCUGGAUGCUUCCUGCCCUCAAACACUGGACUCCAGGUUCUUCAGCUUUGGGACUCGGACUGGCUUCCUUGCUCUUCAGCUUGCAGACAGCCUAUUGUGGGAUUUGUGAUUGUGCUUUGGCAUCAGGAUACCACUGCUCAACCAAAUAAAAGAAGACACAAACAAACGGAAGACCAUUCCAUGCUCAUGGAUAGGAAGAAUCAAUAUCGUGAAAAUGGC